UCUACCUUGGCUAGGUUCAUGUCUCAAUUCAUACAUCUAUAGGGUUCACGAGUGUCCAUUGUUUCAUUACUAAUUCAUAUGCAUCUUUAUACUAAAAGCAUGCAAGAAGUACCAACAUAUUACCAUUUAACCCUACAAUACAUGAAUCCUACAUAUGCACAUACAUGCUCAAUGGUGAUUUAGACAAAGAGAAAUCCAACUGUUUCGAAUAGCACCACCCACAUUGUAGAGAUGCUAGGGUGCUAGAAUCCUAGUUUCCUGAUUUAUGAUCGCCGCUUUCCCCCGACCCACGGCAAACGAAGCCGAAACAGAGUUUUUCCUCAAUAUCUUGACAUAGACUUUUCGGAAUUCCAAUCCGAGCCUCCCAACGCAUCAGUUUAUACUCCA
rnacentral:lncRNA from 1 species